rnacentral:rRNA from 2 species
AUGCUGGAGGUAUCAGAAGUGCGAAUGCUGACAUAAGUAACGAUAAAGCGGGUGAAAAGCCCGCUCGCCGGAAGACCAAGGGUUCCUGUCCAACGUUAAUCGGGGCAGGGUGAGUCGACCCCUAAGGCGAGGCCGAAAGGCGUAGUCGAUGGGAAACAGGUUAAUAUUCCUGUACUUGGUGUUACUGCGAAGGGGGGACGGAGAAGGCUAUGUUGGCCGGGCGACGGUUGUCCCGGUUUAAGCGUGUAGGCUGAUUUUCCAGGUAAAUCCGGAAAAUCAAGGCUGAGGCGUGAUGACGAGGCACUACGGUGCUGAAGCAACAAAUGCCCUGCUUCCAGGAAAAGCCUCUAAGCAUCAGGUAACAUCAAAUCGUACCCCAAACCGACACAGGUGGUCAGGUAGAGAAUACCAAGGCGCUUGAGAGAACUCGGGUGAAGGAACUAGGCAAAAUGGUGCCGUAACUUCGGGAGAAGGCACGCUGAUACGUAGGUGAAGUCCCUUGCGGAUGGAGCUGAAAUCAGUCGAAGAUACCAGCUGGCUGCAACUGUUUAUUAAAAACACAGCACUGUGCAAACACGAAAGUGGACGUAUACGGUGUGACGCCUGCCCGGUGCCGGAAGGUUAAUUGAUGGGGUUAGCGGUAACGCGAAGCUCUUGAUCGAAGCCCCGGUAAACGGCGGCCGUAACUAUAACGGUCCUAAGGUAGCGAAAUUCCUUGUCGGGUAAGUUCCGACCUGCACGAAUGGCGUAAUGAUGGCCAGGCUGUCUCCACCCGAGACUCAGUGAAAUUGAACUCGCUGUGAAGAUGCAGUGUACCCGCGGCAAGACGGAAAGACCCCGUGAACCUUUACUAUAGCUUGACACUGAACAUUGAGCCUUGAUGUGUAGGAUAGGUGGGAGGCUUUGAAGUGUGGACGCCAGUCUGCAUGGAGCCGACCUUGAAAUACCACCCUUUAAUGUUUGAUGUUCUAACGUUGGCCCCUAAUCGGGGUUGCGGACAGUGUCUGGUGGGUAGUUUGACUGGGGCGGUCUCCUCCUAAAGAGUAACGGAGGAGCACGAAGGUUGGCUAAUCCUGGUCGGACAUCAGGAGGUUAGUGCAAUGGCAUAAGCCAGCUUGACUGCGAGCGUGACGGCGCGAGCAGGUGCGAAAGCAGGUCAUAGUGAUCCGGUGGUUCUGAAUGGAAGGGCCAUCGCUCAACGGAUAAAAGGUACUCCGGGGAUAACAGGCUGAUACCGCCCAAGAGUUCAUAUCGACGGCGGUGUUUGGCACCUCGAUGUCGGCUCAUCACAUCCUGGGGCUGAAGUAGGUCCCAAGGGUAUGGCUGUUCGCCAUUUAAAGUGGUACGCGAGCUGGGUUUAGAACGUCGUGAGACAGUUCGGUCCCUAUCUGCCGUGGGCGCUGGAGAACUGAGGGGGGCUGCUCCUAGUACGAGAGGACCGGAGUGGACGCAUCACUGGUGUUCGGGUUGUCAUGCCAAUGGCACUGCCCGGUAGCUAAAUGCGGAAGAGAUAAGUGCUGAAAGCAUCUAAGCACGAAACUUGCCCCGAGAUGAGUUCUCCCUGACUCCCUGAGAGUCCUGAAGGAACGUUGAAGACGACGACGUUGAUAGGCCGGGUGUGUAAGCGCAGCGAUGCGUUGAGCUAACCGGUACUAAUGAACCGUGAGGCUUAACCUU